UAUAACAACACAGAGAGACAGUACACAGACACCUAUUAUAACAACACAGAGAGACAGUACACAGACACCUAUUAUAACAACACAGAGAGACAGUACACAGACACCUAUUAUAACAACACAGAGAGACAGUACACAGACACCUAUUAUAACAACACAGAGAGACAGUACAAGAUGCAUAAUGAACCACCUAAAAGUUUCAGAUUGUUAUAUGGUCUAUCUAUGUAGACCAGGAGUUCUCACAUAUUUUGCUUCGUGGUCCACCAACUGAGGUGUCUGUUGAGUCGCGACCCACCCACCAACUGAGGUGUCUGUUGAGUCGCGAUCCACCAACUGAGGUGUCUGUUGAGUCGCGAUCCACCAACUGAGGUGUCUGUUGAGUCGCGAUCCACCAACUGAGGUGUCUGUUGAGUCGCG